rnacentral:rRNA from 1 species
UACGUAGGGUGCGAGCGUUAAUCGGAAUUACUGGGCGUAAAGCGUGCGCAGGCGGUUUUGUAAGCCAGAUGUGAAAUCCCCGGGCUUAACCUGGGAAUGGCAUUUGGGACUGCAAGGCUGGAGUGCGGCAGAGGAGACUGGAAUUCCUGGUGUAGCAGUGAAAUGCGUAGAUAUCGAGAGGAACACCUGCGGCGAAGGCGGGUUGCUGGGCUGAUACUGACGCUGAUGCGCGAAAGCCAGGGGAGCGAACGGG